UUGCCAGCAGCCGCGGUAAUACGUAGGGUGCAAGCGUUGUCCGGAAUCAUUGGGCGUAAAGAGCUCGUAGGCGGUCUGUCGCGUCUGCUGUGAAAACCUGGGGCUUAACCCCGGGCCUGCAGUGGGUACGGGCAGACUAGAGUGCGGUAGGGGAGACUGGAAUUCCUGGUGUAGCGGUGAAAUGCGCAGAUAUCAGGAGGAACACCGGUGGCGAAGGCGGGUCUCUGGGCCGUAACUGACGCUGAGGAGCGAAAGCAUGGGUAGCGAACAGGAUUAGAUACCCUGGUAGUCCAUGCCGUAAACGUUGGGCGCUAGGUGUGGGGCUCAUUCCACGAGUUCCGUGCCGCAGCAAACGCAUUAAGCGCCCCGCCUGGGGAGUACGGCCGCAAGGCUAAAACUCAAAGGAAUUGACGGGGCCCCGCACAAGCGGCGGAGCAUGCGGAUUAAUUCGAUGCAACGCGAAGAACCUUACCAAGGCUUGACAUGCAGGGAAAUCUCCCAGAGAUGGGAGGUCCGCAAGGGUCCUGCACAGGUGGUGCAUGGUUGUCGUCAGCUCGUGUCGUGAGAUGUUGGGUUAAGUCCCGCAACGAGCGCAACCCUCGUUCUAUGUUGCCAGCGGGUAAUGCCGGGGACUCAUAGGAGACUGCCGGGGUCAACUCGGAGGAAGGUGGGGAUGACGUCAAAUCAUCAUGCCCCUUAUGUCUUGGGCUUCACGCAUGCUACAAUGGCCAGUACAAAGGGCUGCGAGACCGUAAGGUGGAGCGAAUCCCAAAAGGCUGGUCUCAGUUCGGAUUGGGGUCUGCAACUCGACCCCAUGAAGUCGGAG
rnacentral:rRNA from 1 species